rnacentral:rRNA from 1 species
AGUGAACGCUGGCGGUAGGCCUAACACAUGCAAGUCGAACGGCAGCACAGUAAGAGCUUGCUCUUACGGGUGGCGAGUGGCGGACGGGUGAGGAAUACAUCGGAAUCUACUUUUUCGUGGGGGAUAACGUAGGGAAACUUACGCUAAUACCGCAUACGACCUACGGGUGAAAGCAGGGGAUCUUCGGACCUUGCGCGAUUGAAUGAGCCGAUGUCGUAUUAGCUAGUUGGCGGGGUAAAGGCCCACCAAGGCGACGAUCCGUAGCUGGUCUGAGAGGAUGAUCAGCCACACUGGAACUGAGACACGGUCCAGAAUCCUACGGGAGGCAGCAGUGGGGAAUAUUGGACAAUGGGCGCAAGCCUGAUCCAGCCAUACCGCGUGGGUGAAGAAGGCCUUCGGGUUGUAAAGCCCUUUUGUUGGGAAAGAAAAGCAGCAGGUUAAUACCCCGCUGUUCUGACGGUACCCAAAGAAUAAGCACCGGCUAACUUCGUG